rnacentral:rRNA from 1 species
UUCACACUGUCAAGAAAAGUCUCUAUCGAGGUUAAAGGUACCCGUACCGCAAACCGACACAGGUGGGUGAGGAGAGUAUCCUAAGGCCAGCGAGAGAACUGUUGUUAAGGAACUCGGCAAAAUGACCCCGUAACUUAGGGAUAAGGGGUGCCACCAUCAGGUGGCCGCAGAGAAUAGGCCCAAGCGACUGUUUACCAAAAACAUAGGUUUCUGCUAAGUCGCAAGACGAUGUAUAGGAGCUGACGCCUGCCCGGUGCUGGAAGGUUAAGGGGAUCUGUUAGAGCAAUCGAAGCAGUGAACUUAAGCCCCAGUAAACGGCGGCCGUAACUAUAACGGUCCUAAGGUAGCGAAAUUCCUUGUCGGGUAAGUUCCGACCCGCACGAAAGGCGUAACGAUUUGGGCACUGUCUCAACAACAGACUCGGUGAAAUUGUAAUUCCGGUGAAGAUGCCGGAUACCUGCGACAGGACGGAAAGACCCCAUGGAGCUUUACUGUAGCUUGACAUUGGGUCUUGGUACUACAUGUACAGGAUAGGUGGGAGGCUUUGAAACCAGGACGCCAGUUUUGGCGGAGCCAUCCUUGGGAUACCACCCUUGUAGUACUGGGACUCUAACCAUAGGCCAUGAAUCUGGUCUUGGGACACUGUCAGGUGGGCAGUUUGACUGGGGCGGUCGCCUCCCAAAAGGUAACGGAGGCGCUCAAAGGUUCUCUCAGUACGGUCGGAAAUCGUACGUAGAGUGUAAAGGCAAAAGAGAGCUUGAUUGCAAGACAUACAGGUCGAGCAAGGAUGAAAAUCGGACUUAGUGAUCCGGUGGUUCUGCGUGGAAGGGCCAUCGCUCAACGGAUAAAAGCUACCCUGGGGAUAACAGGCUUAUCUCCCCCAAGAGUCCACAUCGACGGGGAGGUUUGGCACCUCGAUGUCGGCUCAUCACAUCCUGGGGCUGUAGUAGGUCCCAAGGGUUGGGCUGUUCGCCCAUUAAAGUGGUACGCGAGCUGGGUUCAGAACGUCGUGAGACAGUUCGGUCCCUAUCCGUCGCAGGCGUAGGAAAUUUGAGAAGACCUGUCCUUAGUACGAGAGGACCGGGAUGGACGUACCUCUGGUGUACCAGUUGUCCUGCCAAGGGCAUGGCUGGGUAGCUAUGUACGGAAUGGAUAAGCGCUGAAAGCAUCUAAGCGCGAAGCCAACUUCAAGAUAAGAUUUCCCACCGCAAGGGUAAGACCCCAGAAAGACUAUCUGGUUGAUAGGUCGAAGGUGUAAGUGCAGCAAUGUAUUUAGCUUAUCGAUACUAAUAGGUCGAGGACUUGACCAA